rnacentral:rRNA from 2 species
AAACCAACAGGGAUUGCCCUAGUACGGCGAGUGAAGCGGCAACAGCUCAAAUUUGAAAUCUGGCUUCGGCCCGAGUUGUAAUUUGUAGAGGAUGCUUUGGGCGCGGCGCCAACUGAGUUCCCUGGAACGGGACGCCACAGAGGGUGAGAGCCCCGUAUAGUUGGAUGCCUAGCCUAUGUAAAGCUCCUUCGACGAGUCGAGUAGUUUGGGAAUGCUGCUCAAAAUGGGAGGUAAAUUUCUUCUAAAGCUAAAUACCGGCCAGAGACCGAUAGCGCACAAGUAGAGUGAUCGAAAGAUGAAAAGCACUUUGAAAAGAGGGUUAAAUAGCACGUGAAAUUGUUGAAAGGGAAGCGCUUGUGACCAGACUUGCGCCGGGCAGAUCAUCCGGUGUUCUCACCGGUGCACUCUGCCCGGCUCAGGCCAGCAUCGGUUCUCGUGGGGGGAUAAAGGUCUCGGGAACGUAGCUCUUCCGGGAGUGUUAUAGCCCGGGGCGUAAUGCCCUCGCGGGGACCGAGGUUCGCGCAUCUGCAAGGAUGCUGGCGUAAUGGUCAUCAGCGACCCGUCUUGAAACACGGACCAAGGAGUCAAGGUUUUGCGCGAGUGUUUGGGUGUAAAACCCGCACGCGUAAUGAAAGUGAACGUAGGUGAGAGCUUCGGCGCAUCAUCGACCGAUCCUGAUGUAUUCGGAUGGAUUUGAGUAAGAGCGUUAAGCCUUGGACCCGAAAGAUGGUGAACUAUGCUUGGAUAGGGUGAAGCCAGAGGAAACUCUGGUGGAGGCUCGCAGCGGUUCUGACGUGCAAAUCGAUCGUCAAAUCUGAGCAUGGGGCGAAAGAC